ACCAGCCAUGAACUGAAUGAAGCCUCUGAAACCAGGAGCUGAAAUGUAUUCCUCUUCCUUUGACUUGUUUGUUUCAGACAUUUUGUCAAGCCCCACCAUGCUAUGAACUGUUCUACUCUACUAUGUCUUCCGGCAUGAUGGAUGGACGCCUUUGAAAUGGAGAGCAAAAAUGAACAGUUCGCUCCAUAAGUUCUCAGAACCAUGCUCACAGAGGUGAAAAAGCUGUUAAGUGUUUUCUUUUGGAAACAAGACUACUUGGAGCAAGCUGUAGACCGAGAUGUCUUAGUUUAUGUGGGAAAUGCGGUAUGUGGAUUUAUGUGGAAAAUUCAUAAAACACGCUUAGGAUUUGGAUUCAGAAGCUGAUGGAACAGCUUGUUGAAAUGGCUGAGAGCACCUGACGACCCAACCCUGGCUAAAAUUUGGGGUGCAGACUAAGACCAGAUCUUGAAUCCAUCACAUUAAACAUGUUGAUCACAGACACAGCAGAUAACACCUCAUGCAUUUAAUAUUGUCCUGUGGUUUUCUUUACUUUUCAUGACUUAUUAAGCCGGUUAGGUCCUCUACAAUACUGCUGGAAGAGGAUUUCUGCCUUGGUCUAAAUAUCAGAAGAGUGUGUCCCAUCCUGACCAUGAAGUUUCACAUCAGCUGUAGGUUACUCACCUGACCCUUUUUAUCAAGUGAAGGACGUCAUUUCCCCACUCUUAGCUGCAAAGAGAUUUUUACUUACGAGUGCUUAAUGAAUUUCGUGUUUGAUCAUAUAAGUUAUUCUUC